UGACCUCGGAUCGGUAGGGAUACCCGCUGAACUUAAGCAUAUCAAUAAGCGGAGGAAUU
rnacentral:rRNA from 1 species